CUCGUGGGUUGGCAGUAUGAGAGUUGUAAUGGCCCGACUGUUGAGUGAGGGGGAGCAGGGGAUCCCAACGGCUUGCGCUGCCUUUGCGCAGCAGCCGGCGGGCGGCCACGUCGCGGCCUGGCUGGGGUAGGAGAGGGCGGUCCCCAGUGCAGUUGGGUGAACUACCGUUGCACACUGGAGUUUCUGGUGUCUUUGCUUGGAACUGACCUAGCUCGUGGCAGGGGGAACUCGGCUAGCGGCCCCACAGCCCCUGCUGACUCAAAACAACUGAGUUGUAAGACGUUCAUCGCCGUGUUAUCCUUGAGUAAAGGUGAGUAUUAGGUGCGAGAGCCUUUUGAAUGCCUCUUCGGAAAGCUUUGUUCCCAAGCAAGCUUUCGUUCAUGGGCAUUAUGCGCCUCCCUGCCCUUUUUUUUUUUUUUUUUUUUGAGACAGUCUCGCCUUGUCACCCAGGCUGAAGUGCGGUGGCACGAUCUCACUGCAACCUGCGCCUUCUGGGAUCAAGCGAUUCUCCUGCCUCAGCCUCCCGAUUAGCUGGGAUUACAGGCGCAUGCCACCAAGCCUGGCUAAUUUUUUGUAUUUUUUAAUAGAUAAGGGGUUUCACUGUGUUAGCCAGGAUGGUCUCGAUCUGCUGACCUCGUGAUCCGCCCCUCUCGGCCUCCCAAAGUGCUGGGAUUACAGGCGUGAGCCACCGCGCCCGGCCUUUUUUUUUUUUUUUUUUUAAGACAGCCUCCCUGUCACCCUGGCUGGAAUGCAGUGGCAAGAACACAAUUCAGUGCGGCCUUCAACUCCCGGGUUUAACCGAUUCUCCCACCUUAGCCAAUUUUUUCCUUUUUUUUUUUUUUUUUUUGAGAUGGAGUCUUGAUCUUGUUGCCCGGGCUGGCAAUGGUACGAUCUCCCUGCAACCUCUGCCUCCCGGGUUCAAUCGAUUGUCCUGCCUCAGCCUGCCGAUUAGCUGGGACUACAGGCCCGCGCCACCACACUCGGCUAAUUUUUCUGUUUUUAGUAGAAGGGGUUUCACCAUGUUGGCCAGGAUGGUCUCCAUCUCCUGACCUCGUGAGCCGCUGUGCCCGGCCACUUUUUCUUUUUUGAGCUAUAAUCCAUGUACCACAGGUGGUGACUUCCAUUUGUUUGUUUUUGCUAUUUUGUUUUUGAGACAGGGCGCAAUGCCAGGAUCUCCCUGCAACAUCCACCGUCAGGGCUCAAGUGGUCUUUCCACCUCAGCUUCCUGGGACUGCAGGCACGUGCUACCACCACGCCUGGCUAAUUUUUAGUUUUUUUACAGAAGCGGGCUUUUGCCAUGUUGUCCAGGCUGGUCUCUACUCCUGGGCUCAAGCAGUCCUCCUGCCUCAGUCUCCCAAAGUGCUGGAAUUACAGGGGUGAGUUGCUGCGUCUGGUGUUGGUGACUUUCUAGAGAUUACUUUUUGGUUUACAUCAUUUUCCUUGUGACUAUUUUUACUUUUUUGGGGGGCGGGGGGACAGUCUUACUCUUUUUAGUUUACAUCAUUUUCCUUGUGACUAUUCUAUUUUUACUUUUUUAGGGGGCGGGGGGACAUGAGUCUCACUCAUGUUGGUCAGGCUGGUCUCAAACUCCUGACCUCAGUUGAUCCACGCCCUUCGGCCUCCCAAAGUGCCGGGAUUACAGGCGUGAGCCACUUUGCCCGGCCUGUAUUUUUACGUUUUAAUAAAUCCCCGUAUUUUUGUUAAAGGCUGGGUAACCUGACUCCUCCCCUCAUUUCUACUGCAAAAUAGGAGUACACUGGGGCCUCCCAGUGGAGCUGUUCUCUGCUGUUUUAAAUUACUUUCUACUCCUCCCUUUCUAACGUCCACUCCUGGACUCAUUUGUUAGAUCAAUAUAUACUGGGACUGUUGUGUUUUCUUUGAGUGUACUAGAUCUCUUUCCAGAAGAGCUUCCCUUGAUCCAGAUCUCCCUAAUUGGGAAUGAUGAUUUCACAGACUAGAGUCUCCGAUGCUGGUCAUGAUGUCAAAACUAAGUUCUGACUCAUUUAGGGAACUGGAUACUUGGGUCUCCAGAAGGGCCAAUGGGAGGGCCAUAAUUCUGUUUAUUUUCAAAUUGUCUUGUUUUCACCUUGUUAGAAUGAACUCUGGAAGCCCAGCCAGGGACAAUGCACCUUCACAGAGAUUCUGCACUAAUCUGAGUGAAGGUCUAAGGUUUGGAAUCUCCCCCUCAUGGAGAGAAGCUUUGUAUGGCUGUCAUGCUUAGACAGUGAUUCCUGCAACUUGACCUUCAGGCUGGGAGAGGUGGAGAGCCAUGCCUGUUCUCCUUCCUUGCUAUGGAAUUUGCUGACACAAUAUCUUCCGCCUGGUGCUGGGCAUAUCCUAAGAACUUACAACUUUCCUGUAUUAUCCUGUGUGAGCAGCUGUCACCUUAUUGGGGGAAAAAUGCCUGAAAAUUAGGGGGCACUUCAAGUAGAUAGCUUCUAUUUCCUAUAUUUGUCUUAUAUACAAGUAUUUGCUUUUAUCAAAAUAAUUCCAAUAAAGCAUUUUAAAGUAAAGAA
rnacentral:lncRNA from 1 species